AAUUACACUCUCUCUUUAAACUCUGAUGUCCUCUUUCUUUCUAAACUCUCUUUCCAAAGCCUCUGAUAUGUAUAACUCCAAGGAUAUUCUGGAGGAUUCCAAUAAUCGAAGGGUGGUGCUCGCCCUGAAUGAAGCCUUAAACGCUCAAGACGUCAAAAUUGUCCACAAGCUUCUCACCACUGACCUUGAAUGGUGGUUCCAUCGUCCAUCGUCCUACUAGUAUAUGGUGUGCUUGAUCACUGGCACUACCUCGCCGAAAAACUGCUUGGAAUUUGCUCCCCUCUCUAUCGCCAAUUUCGGAUCAACGAUCUUUGUCGAGGGCUGCAAUCACAUCUAUUUAAUCUCUUGGAUCCACGUCUGGACCGUCGCUGAUGGGAUAAUCACCCAAGUCAGUGAGCUAUGAAUAACUCACCGGCGAUGAGCAAAGAUGUGCUCAAUCGAUGGUGAACAAGGACGUCAGUGACGUGACGGCAGUGAGAUUUGAACGGCAAACAAAAAGGACGAAACGACUUACCGAUGCUUACCGGCGUGAGGUCUCGACGGUGAGCAAACAGCGAGGAAAGAAACGACGGCAGUGAUGGAGGACUGAUUUGCGGUCGGUGAGCAUAAUGGAUGUAGAAAGAGAGAGUGAGCCUGGUGACGCAAGACACCUGCGACGCUUUAAUCCGGUGAUGAAGCGAACUGAAACGGCGGCGGCGAUGCAUGAUCUCAACAGCGAUACCAACCAUCGAUAAGCAAGAACGCUGUCGUUGAACCAGUAGCGGCAAUAACUUGUUGCCGGUUCGAGAGAGAAACAGAAGAGAGAGAUGGAGAAGCACAGAGGUGAAGAGUUUGAUGCGUUGCUUUUCAAACCCUAUAUUUCUAAAGACUUUGAUCUUCUGUUCUCUUUGCUAGCCGUUACAUAACCAUAAUCGUUCAACAAGCAAAUAUCGGUACAAUAUUUUCAGAAGCAGGCAUCGCUGGUGAUGAUGGCAGAUUCUGAAUUGCAUGACAUUAAUGUGCACUACAAGUCCACUAUGAAAGGAAUUUAUAAUGUUGACCCUGAUAGGUACUGUUUUAUUGAUUUGAUGGAUGACGUUUUACAAGUGUCUUUAGAAAAUUUACCUGCACAAUUAGGAGUCUCAAUUAUCAUGCAUUGUGAUUUGUUUGGGAGUCAUGAGAAAAUGGUAGUGCAAAGUGAUGCUGAUAUGUUACAAAUGUUUAACUUGCAUACUAAUCCUUAUAAAAAAAUUUGUUCACGUUCAUGUUGAGUUAGAAACUGUUGAAAAUUUAAACAUGGUAUGUGAGAGGAAUGGUGCUGUGAGGGAUGGUGAAAGGGAUGGUUGUCCAAGGGGUGCUCAUGUAAGUGGUGGUGAAAAGGAUGGUGGUGAAAGGGGUGGCAGGGUAAGGGAUGGUGAUGAGGAUGAUGGAGAUUAUAUUUAUGGUUUCAGUUCGGAAGAUGAGGAAUAGGAAGAUGAAAAUGAAGGGUAUUCUAGUGAUAGUGGACUAGUAGAUGAAGGUACUAUGGGGGGAGUUCAAAUAAGUAGUGAUGAUGGUUUGUCAAAUUAUGGGUUAAGGGAUGAAUGUGGAUCAGAAUCAAGUAUUGAAAUAUUGGGUGAUACUGAUAAAAAAGAUAAGGCUAAGGGUAAAUCCUUUCAUCAAUGUUUGUUUGUGAUAGAAUUUCAUAGAGUUUCAGGACAAAAGAUUGAGCUAGUGAAAGGUCACCUAUUUGACAAUAUUAAGAAAUUUAGGGAAGUGUUGAGGGAUUAUGCAAUUCAAGAGUGUUUUAAAAUGGUUAGAAAAAAAAAUGAAAAAGCUAGAAUAAGAUGUCAUUGUGCUGCUACAAGUUGCCCAUGGAUGAUACGUGCAUCACAUCUCUUUGAUAAAAUCACCUAUCAGAUUAAAAAAAUAAACAAAGACCAUACUUACGUGAAUGAGAGCACUUCUAGGGAAGCAACAUCAACAUGGGUUGCUAUGAAGUUUGCAGAUAUGAUAAAAGAGAAUCCUGAGAUUAAAAUAGCAUCUUUGGGAGUUACAGUGAAAACACAAUAUGGAAUUGAACCUAGUAUAAUGCAGUUGUAUAGGGCAAAAAGGAAGGCACUAGAGGAAAUUGGGGGUAAUCAUGUUGAAGCUUACACAUUACUUCCAGCUUAUGCAAAUGAAAUUGAUAAAAAAAAAUCCAGGAAGCUUGGCUAAAAUUAAGAGGUUUAGGGCAAAUUUGUAUGCGAACCCAGUCUUUAGCAGAAUUUUCAUCUGUUUUGAGGCACUGGCCACUGGUUUGAAGAAAUGAUAUAGACUAUUUAUUGGUCUAGAUGGCUGCCAUUUGAAAGGACCCUAUGGUGAUGUUCUACUUGCAGCCACUGUACUAGAUGGCAACAAUGGCCUUUUCCCAGUGGCCUAUGGUGUUGUGGAAAGUAGGGCUGCAACUUGGGCGGGUUAACCCAGCCCAACCCAGAAAUUUUGAAAUUGGGGCUUAUAUUCACAAGUCGGGUUCAUGUUUGGGUUGGGUUUUGUCAAAACCUAGACAAAAUCGGGUUGGGCUGGGCUCAACCCGAACCCAACCCUAAACCCAUUUUUUUUUUCCCAUCAUUUCUCUCUCCUCUCUCUUUCUCUAUCUGCCGCCGUCCAUGGGCGAAGCUUGAGAGUUGAGAAGGGGGCCUUUUUUUUUUUUUUUUUCUCUCUCCUUUCUCUCUCCGCUUUCUUCUUUUUCUUUCUCUUUCUCUUUCUCUGUCUUCUUUUUCUUUCUCUUUCUCUUUCCCUGUCUUCUUUUUCUUUAUCUUUCUUUCUCUGCCGCCGUCCAUGGGCGAAGCUUGAACAAUCUGGGUUUUGAUUUUUUGAACAAAUCUGAAAUGAUAUGGCGAAGCUUGAACCAAUCUGGCGAAGCUUGAACAAACUGGACAGCGGGCGAUGGAAACUGAAAGAUCUGGGUUUUGAUUUUUUGAACAAUCUGAAAUGAUAUGCUGAUGUUUUGAUUUUUUGAAUAAUCUGAAAUGAUAUGCCGAUAUGGGUUUUGAACUUUUGAUUCUAGCACACAGAUAGAUAAAAUUGAAAUAUGUGGGUUUUGAACUUCUGAUUCUUGUAGAUUUUGUAACUUGCAGUUGGAGAGAGAGAGAGAGAGAGAGAAUGAAGCUGGAGGCGAUAGGGGGGCUGAAAUGAUUUGCCUUAAAAAUAUUUUGUUUUUUUAUUUAUAAUAAUAUAAUCAAAUAUAUAUAUAUAUAUAUAUAUAUAUAUAUAAUAAUAUUAUAUAUAUAUAUAAUAUAUAAUAUAAUAUAUAUAAAUUUAAAAAAAAAAAAAAUUAAAAAAAAAACCUCAACCCGUCAACCAAACCCAACCCGUCCGAAAAUAUUCGGUUCGGGUUAUGAUCAUAACUCAUGGUGAGUACAAUUCAGGUUGGCCCAACCCAACCCGCUUCGGGUUGAGGUUGGGUUGGGACUGGGCUGGGUUGGGCCAACCCAAGUUGCAGCCCUAGUGGAAAGUUGGGGUUUUUUUCUAACACAUCUACAGAUUAUGAUUGGCAAAGAUUUUGAGGACAGCCCAUGGACUUUCAUGUCUGAUCAACAAAAGGGACUGGAUUCUGUAAUUUCUUAUAUCUUUCCUAAGGCCCAUCAUAGAUAUUGCUGCAGACAUUUAUUUAAUAACUUUAAAAAGAAGUACCCUGGUUUGUUGUUAAGGAAGUACUUUUGGGGGGCUGCAAGAGCUUACAACCAAGCUAACUUUGAUAUUGCCAUAAGACAUUUGAGGAAUCUUACAGAAGAAGGGAAUAAUAAUUUGAUGGAAUUGCCUGUAUCAUCAUGGUCUAGGCAUGGGUUUGAUGAAAAUGUGAAAAAUGAUCAUGUCAUAAACAAUUUAAAUGAAUCAUUUAACAAUUGGGUUGGUGCACAAAGAAAUAGUAUACUUCUGAAUAUGUUAGAAUGGAUUAGGAUAAAAUUGAUGGGUAGGAUUCAAAAGAGGUAUGAGGUGGCAUGCAGUUGGCAAAUAGUGGUGACUCCUAACAUUAGGAAGAAGUUGAACCAACUCAUAGAGGAAUCUAGACAAUAUAGUGUAAUAUUUGCUGGAGCAGAUGAAUAUGAAAUAAUGGAUGAAACUGGUACAACUGUGGUAAACCUUGGUGCUAGGACUUGUGUAUGUAGGGCAUGGCAAAUUUCUGGCCUCCCCUGCAAGCAUUUAGCUGCUGCAAUGGCUUACAAGAGAAUGAAUAUUGAGUUGUUUUGUGAUGAAAAAUUGAGUAAGGAUGCUUAUUUGGAAGCUCAUGGGGGAAUGAUACAUCCCAUAGUUAACUUAAAACUAUGACCACCUACUCAUGGUGAUCCACUUUAUCCUCCUCCACCUUAAAGAAGGCCUGGCAGGCCAAAGAAAAAUAGAAGAAGAGAUGCAAAUGAACCUGCAACAGGAACUAGUCAAGUGAGAAAGUCAAUGACUAUAAGAUGUAUGAUUUGCAAGGCUCUUGGACAUAACAAAAGAACAUGUCCAAAAAAUACAAAUAAAGUCCAGAAGGGAAGUUCUUCAAAAGCUGCAAAUGGAAGUGGUCUAGAGGGAAGUUCAAACACAUCUCAGAUAAUUUAAUUAUCUGGUUUAAUUUAAUUAAGUGUUUUAAUAAAAACUGAAUUAGUGCAUGCUAUUUAUUCUUAUAUUUUGUUUGUUUUUUAAUAUCAGAGAGUUUGGAGGGGGCUUUAUCACAGCCCUUGGGUACAAGCAGUUUUUAACCUCAACUUGGUAGAGGCACAACUCAAAUGGCAGUUAGAGGUGGGAGGGGUGGUAUAAGCAGUUCUCAACCCCAAGGUGCUACAUGGAGUUUUUGGUGCAAUCAAUUCUCAACCCCAACUUGGUGGAGGGACAACUCAAAUGUUAACUUUUUUAUUAUUAUUUUUUAUUUUUUUCAUUUACAGAUUUACUUUAUUGGCCAUACAAUUAUUUGAAAUUGUUAUGGUUGUUUGACUCAGGCAGUUAGAGGUGUGAUGGGUGGUAUAAGCAAUUCUCAACCCCAAGGUGCUACAUGGAGUUUGGGUGCAAGCAAUUCUCAGCCCCAACUUGGUAGAGGCGCAACUCAAAUGGCAGUUAGAGGUGGGAGGGGUGCGUCUAUGUCUCAGCCCCAACUUGGUAGUGGUACUUCUUCUGACAUGGCAAUGUGGUAACUGUCAUGCUGUUUCAAUCCUUCUGGCCUCCCCUGAAGAAUGUUUUUUGUGUUCUUAUUUGAAGCAUAUGUGGAUAACCUAUCACUUUUGAUAUUACUAUUUUGUUUUGAUGGCAUGUGGAAAAGUGUUUGCUCAUGGUUAGAGUUGCAUUAGGAGCAUGUGUGGAUAAGUUGUCACUUUUGGGAAACUUUGCUUGCUACUUGUUGACAAUUUUUGGGAUAUUGCUGGAUAGGUUUUUGGACAGGAUAUAAUUACAUACUUAUACUCAUGGGUCAUGGGUAUACUUUUGGUUGUUUUGUGUAUGUAAUGAAGUGGAGACAGUUGGAUUGAACUAUAUAUAAGCUUUUGGUUAUUUUUUGCA